CCCUUAGAAGGUAGUACUCCGUCUUAGCUAUGGAAUUCUUGGAAGCCCCAAGCUAAUGAAGAGAAGAACAUGGAACCAGUCUGAGGCUGCACACGUCUAUAUGCCUGCAUGCGCGUGUUUGUGACUACAUUCCAAUGGUUCUGCAAAAAGCUCUGUAUAUUUGAAUGCUUAUUGGGGUUCAUCUGGACAGAAGGUAGAAUAUGAUUGGGAAUUUGAGAAAAGAUGUCUCACAAGGAGCCAAGAUCAGAAGAUUCUUCUUAAUCAAUGGAAUAAAAAAAGGAA